GAACUUGUGGAAGGAUCAUUG
rnacentral:rRNA from 3 species